CCUACGGGAGGCAGCAGUGAGGAAUAUUGGUCAAUGGGCGCGAGCCUGAACCAGCCAAGUAGCGUGAAGGAUGACUGCCCUCCGGGUUGUAAGCUUCUUUUAUAAAGAAGUAAAGUGAGGCACGAAUGCCUUUUCGUAUGGACUUUAUGAAUAAGGAACGGCUAACUCCGUGCCAGCAGCCGCGGUAAUACGGAGGAUCCGAGCGUUAUCCGGAAUUAUUGGGUUUAAAGGGAGCGUAGAUGGGUUGUUAAGUCAGGUGUGAAAGUUUGGGGCUCAACCGUAAAAUUGCACUUGAUACUGGCAGCCUUGAGUACAGUUGAGGUAGGCGGAAUUCGUGGUGUAGCGGUGAAAUGCUUAGAGAUCACGAAGAACUCCGAUUGCGAAGGCAGCUUACUAAACUGCCACUGACAUUGAUGCUCGAAAGUGUGGGGAUCAAACAGGAUUAGAUACCCUUGUAGUC
rnacentral:rRNA from 1 species